GACGAACGCUGGCGGCGUGCUUAACACAUGCAAGUCGAACGGAAAGGCCCUGCUUUUGUGGGGUGCUCGAGUGGCGAACGGGUGAGUAACACGUGAGUAACCUGCCCUUGACUUUGGGAUAACUUCAGGAAACUGGGGCUAAUACCGGAUAGGAGCCCCUGCUGCAUGGUGGGGGUUGGAAAGUUUCGGCGGUUGGGGAUGGACUCGCGGCUUAUCAGCUUGUUGGUGGGGUAGUGGCUUACCAAGGCUUUGACGGGUAGCCGGCCUGAGAGGGUGACCGGCCACAUUGGGACUGAGAUACGGCCCAGACUCCUACGGGAGGCAGCAGUGGGGAAUAUUGCACAAUGGGCGGAAGCCUGUUGCAGCAACGCCGCGUGCGGGAUGCCGUCCUUCGGGUUGUAAACCGCUUUCGCCUGUGACGAAGCGUGAGUGACGGUAAUGGGUAAAGAAGCACCGGCUAACUACGUG
rnacentral:rRNA from 1 species